rnacentral:rRNA from 1 species
GACGAACGCUGGCGGCGUGCUUAACACAUGCAAGUCGAACGAUGAAGCCGGAGCUUGCUCCGGUGGAUUAGUGGCGAACGGGUGAGUAACACGUGAGCAAUCUGCCCUUGACUCUGGGAUAACUGCGGGAAUCUGUAGCUAAUACCGGAUACGACACCUUGGGGCAUCCCAGGGUGUGGAAAGAAUUUCGGUCAAGGAUGAGCUCGCGGCCUAUCAGCUAGUUGGUGAGGUAAUGGCUCACCAAGGCGACGACGGGUAGCCGGCCUGAGAGGGUGACCGGCCACACUGGAACUGAGACACGGUCCAGACUCCUACGGGAGGCAGCAGUGGGGAAUAUUGCACAAUGGGCGAAAGCCUGAUGCAGCAACGCCGCGUGAGGGAUGAAGGCCUUCGGGUUGUAAACCUCUUUUAGCAGGGAAGAAGCGAAAGUGACGGUACCUGCAGAAAAGGCACCGGCUAACUACGUGCCAGCCGCCGCGGUAA